rnacentral:rRNA from 1 species
CCCGCUGAACUUAAGCAUAUCAAUAAGCGGAGGAAAAGAAACUAACAAGGAUUCCCCUAGUAACUGCGAGUGAAGCGGGAAAAGCUCAAAUUUCAAAUCUGGCGGUCCCGCCGCCCGAGUUGUAUUCUGGAGAAGCGUCUUCUGCGCCGGACCGUGUACAAGUGCCUUGGAACAGGACGUCACAGAGGGUGAGAAUCCCGUCUUUGACACGGACUACCAAUGCUUUGUGAUGCGCUCUCAAAGAGUCGAGUUGUUUGGGAAUGCAGCUCAAAAUGGGUGGUAAAUUCCAUCUAAAGCUAAAUAUAGGCGAGAGACCGAUAGCGAACAAGUACCGUGAGGGAAAGAUGAAAAGCACUUUGGAAAGAGAGUUAAACAGUACGUGAAAUUGCUGAAAGGGAAACGCUUGAAGUCAGUCACGUCUGCCAGGACUCAGCCUUGCUUCUGCUUGGUGUACUUUCUGGUUGGAUGGGCCAACAUCAAUUUCGACCGUUGGAGAAAGGCUUUGGGAAUGUGGCACCUUCGGGUGUGUUAUAGCCCUUUGUUGUAUACAACGGUUGGGAUUGAGGACUGCAGCAUGCCUUCAUGGCCGGGGUUCGCCCACGUACAUGCUUAGGAUGUUGGCAUAAUGGCUUUAAGCGACCCGUCUUGAAACACGG